UGGGUACUGCGAUUACAGUCAGACAUCA
rnacentral:piRNA from 1 species